UACGUAGGGGGCAAGCGUUGUCCGGAAUCAUUGGGCGUAAAGCGCGUGUAGGCGGCUCGAUAAGUCUGCUGUGAAAGUUCAGGGCUCAACCCUGAAAUGCCGGUGGAAACUGUCGGGCUAGAGUCCGGAAGAGGCGAGUGGAAUUCCUGGUGUAGCGGUGAAAUGCGUAGAUAUCGAGAGGAACACCAGUGGCGAAGGCGAGUCCCUGGACAGGUCCUGACGCUGAGGCACGAAAGCUAGGGGAGCAAACAGG
rnacentral:rRNA from 1 species